AAGAAAAAAAAAAAAAACAACUCUGUCUUUCUGAUCCUGAUCUGGACUCGACCCCGCAACGACAACAGCCGGCCCAGGCAGUGCUGCCCAGCGCUCCAUCUCCACCUCCAUCUCCACCGCUACCUCCACCAGUGGAAGGAGCCAUGACGGAGGAAGAGGGCAAAACAAGCUCAGCAACCAAGCCGUUACCAUACACUGCCCCUCGCACACCAUAACUGGACUUUGCAACGGUGUAAAGACUGCUUUCCCAGUGAAAAUGGACAUUGGCAAAAUCUCACUGUGCAAGCAGAGAGACUAUGAGACUGUGUCUGCGUACCUUAUCAGACUCACAGAGGUUCACAACACACAGUGGCCUCCUACGACCAGCUGCCAUGAGGGGAAACAAUGAGGUCGGUCCCUGGGAAGCUCAUCUUCGGGACCACUUCAUCAAUGAGACCAGAGAUCAGUGAGAUGAUAAAACGCAAUUACAUCACUUGGGAAUGCGGAAACCUUGAGACUGUCGAGAAUCGCGCCAUGGCAGAAGGGAUGGAGGCAGGGGGAGAUCCAACGCCUGCUUCAGAUGUGGAAAGAUGGGAUACUGGGCAAGGAAUUGCCCUGAGAAUCAGGACACACAGGCUGAUUGACUAGCGGAGGGGUCGAGGACAGUGAAGGAUUCAUCUAGCUUUGACACGGAGACGGGAAACAGUGACCUAUCUGCACAUCAGACACGUAAGAACACAGACACACAACUCAUGAUUUCACAAGCAAUUGAAUAUCUUGAAUCUGUACAGGAAACUGGUAAAGAGAAAGCUAUUGAACUAUAUGCUAAGUACUCACAUGACACAUAUAAACAGAUG